GAGGAAACUGGAGCCCGGACUGCUGCCUUGUUGGAGGCGACAGCUUCGAGCGUGGUCGACGUGGUGAGGAGGAGAAUUGCGAAUUGGACGAAGCUAGAGCUCGUGAGGGCCGGAUCGUUCGGUAGGGUGUACAAGGCGGUGAGCGAGAACGGAUUUAUCUUCGCUGUCAAAGAAGCAUCGUUGAUUGGUCCGCAAAGCAAAGUGCAAGUCAGCUAGAGCAGUAUCACUCAUCAUUUCACUGUUUCUGGAGAUCUUGCUUCUGAGCCAAAUUGGAGCAUAAGAACAUAGUACAAUACUUCGGUGCCAAAAAGCGCAAUAUUGGCGUGAUUGUGACUUGUGAGGUCACCGUGCACUCUUAUCCCUGAAGGUUCUUUGGUAUCUGUAUACGAGAAGCGGCAGUUGGAAGAAUCAACAAUCUCUGCAUAUACUAGGCAGAUUCUCACUGGAUUGGCUUAUCUGCAUCAUAAUAAUGUAAUGCACAGAGAUAUUAAAUGUGCAAACAUUUUACUUGACCUAAAUGGAACCGUGAAGGUUGGAGAUUUUGGACUGGCAAAGCAGAGGCAGUGAGAUCUGAAGCUGUUGAAUCCAAGGCUAGAUUAAAGUCUGGAAGCAGAAAAGGUCCUGUGCAGGAAGUGUAUAUUGGAUGGCUCCUGAGGUCAUUCGCGGGACUCCAUACGGGCGUUCUGCUGAUAUCUGGAGUCUCGGGUGCACUAUCCUGGAGAUGUUCAUACAAAGACCUCCUUAUCCUGACGACAAUUGGGUAUCAGCUUUCUGCCAAAUCGGUCGUGGUCAGCUCCCUCCGGUCCCGAGCUCACUGUCGCUGGUGGCUCGCGAGUUCAUACACAAGUGCCUCCGGGUAAACCCUGACGACCGGGCCUCUGCUGACGAACUGCUGGGGCACCCAUUCGUGGCGCUGCCGGAUUCAGAACAGCAUGUCGCCUGAUCGACGUUGUCACGUUCAGAGUCAGCAGCUCGUUGCUUCUUCGAUGCUGUUCCUUGUUGGAAGUUUCAGAAUCGUCGUAGCAUCGUCAGGUGAAGGGAAAUCUUUCGCGCUAGAUUCAGGCAUGCGAUUUGUUCUGUAAAAUACAUGUACGCAGACAGAGGCACGGGACUCCGCAUCCAACAUUGACUAUUCUUUGUUGCUUUUGAUUUGACGGUGCA